rnacentral:lncRNA from 1 species
CAGAUUCUCUGAGUUCUCAUCUUGGAUAUCUACAAAUGAGACACAAUUAAAGGGGAUCAAGGGUGAGGCCAUCGAUACUGCCAACCACGGAGAGGUUAAACGUGCCGUUGAAGAGAUCAGAAAUGGUGUUACCAAAAGGGGUGAGACCCUCAGCUGGCUGAAAUCCAGGCUGAAAGUUUUGACAGAAGUUUCUUCUGAGAAUGAAGCCCAAAAGCAGGGAGAUGAGCUGGCAAAAUUAUCCAGCUCUUUCAAGGCUCUUGUGACGCUGCUG